rnacentral:rRNA from 1 species
GCGUUGCUCGGAAUUAUUGGGCGUAAAGGGUAGGUAGGUGGUCUCAUUUGUCUGAGGUGAAAGCCCAGGGCUUAACCCUGGAAGUGCCUCAGAAACGGUGAGACUCGAGUACUGGAGAGGGUCGUGGAAUUCCCGGUGUAGCGGUGAAAUGCGUAGAGAUCGGGAGGAACACCAGAGGCGGAGGCGGCGACCUGGACAGUUACUGACACUCAACUACGAAAGCGUG